CCGCCCUUCGGGGUGGUGAAAGUGGCGCACGGGUGAGUAACGCGUGGAUAAUCUGCCCGAGGAUUUGGGAUAACAUCUCGAAAGGGGUGCUAAUACCGAAUAAGCCCACGGGGUCUACGGAUCUUGCGGGAAAAGGGGGGGACCUUCGGGCCUCCUGUCCUUGGAUGAGUCUGCGUACCAUUAGCUAGUUGGUGGGGUAAUGGCCUACCAAGGCGACGAUGGUUAGCUGGUCUGAGAGGAUGAUCAGCCACACUGGAACUGAGACACGGUCCAGACUCCUACGGGAGGCAGCAGUGGGGAAUUUUGCGCAAUGGGGGAAACCCUGACGCAGCAACGCCGCGUGGGUGAUGAAGGCCUUCGGGUCGUAAAGCUCUGUCUGGAGGGAAGAAAUGAUUGGGAGCUAAUACCUCUUGAUCUUGACGGUACCUCUGAAGGAAGCACCGGCUAACUCCGUGCCAGCAGCCGCGGUAAUACGGAGGGUGCAAGCGUUGUUCGGAAUUAUUGGGCGUAAAGCGCGUGUAGGC
rnacentral:rRNA from 1 species